rnacentral:rRNA from 1 species
CCUACGGGAGGCAGCAGUGGGGAAUCUUGCGCAAUGGGCGAAAGCCUGACGCAGCAACGCCGCGUGCGGGAAGAAGGCUUUCGGGCUGUAAACCGCUUUCAGCAGGAACGAAAAUGACGGUACCUGCAGAAGAAGGAGCGGCCAACUAUGUGCCAGCAGCCGCGGUGAUACAUAGGCUUCAAGCGUUGUCCGGAUUUAUUGGGCGUAAAGAGUUCGUAGGCGGUCGAGUAAGUCGGGUGUGAAAAUUCUGGGCUCAACCCAGAGACGCCACCCGGAUACUGCUUAACUUGAGUUCGAUAGGGGAGUGGGGAAUUCCUAGUGUAGCGGUGAAAUGCGCAGAUAUUAGGAGGAACACCGGUGGCGAAGGCGCCACUCUGGAUCGAUACUGACGCUGAGGAACGAAAGCAUGGGUAGCAAACAGGAUUAGAUACCCUGGUAGUCCAUGCCGUAAACGGUGGGCACUAGGUGUGGGAUUCUAUUAACGAAUUCCGCGCCGUCGCUAACGCAUUAAGUGCCCCGCCUGGGGUAGGUACGGUCGCAGACUAAACUACAAGAGUAGUAGCGNGNGAGAGCGACGACGACGACGACGGAGGAGGAG